rnacentral:rRNA from 1 species
GACGAACGCUGGCGGCGUGCUUAACACAUGCAAGUCGAACGGAAAGGCCCUGCUUUUGUGGGGUGCUCGAGUGGCGAACGGGUGAGUAGCACGUGAGUAACCUGCCCUUGACUUUGGGAUAACUUCAGGAAACUGGGGCUAAUACCGGAUAGGAGCUCCUGCUGCAUGGUGGGGGUUGGAAAGUUUCGGCGGUUGGGGAUGGACUCGCGGCUUAUCAGCUUGUUGGUGGGGUAGUGGCUUACCAAGGCUUUGACGGGUAGCCGGCCUGAGAGGGUGACCGGCCACAUGGGGACUGAGAGACGGCCCAGACUCCUACGGGAGGCAGGAGUGGGGAAUAUUGCACAAUGGGCGGAAGCCUGAUGCAGCAACGCCGCGUGCGGGAGGACGGCCUUCGGGUUGUAAACAGCUUUCGCCUGUGACGAAGCGUGAGUGACGGGAAUGGGUAAAGAAGCACCGGCUAACUACGU